AGAACGAACGCUGGCGGCAUGCCUAAUACAUGCAAGUCGAACGAACACUUCGGUGUUAGUGGCGCACGGGUGCGUAACGCGUGGGAAUCUGCCCUUGGGUUCGGAAUAACAGUUGGAAACGACUGCUAAUACCGGAUGAUGACGAAAGUCCAAAGAUUUAUCGCCCAGGGAUGAGCCCGCGUAGGAUUAGCUAGUUGGUGAGGUAAAGGCUCACCAAGGCGACGAUCCUUAGCUGGUCUGAGAGGAUGAUCAGCCACACUGGGACUGAGACACGGCCCAGACUCCUACGGGAGGCAGCAGUAGGGAAUAUGGACAAUGGGCGCAAGCCUGAUCCAGCAAUGCCGCGUGAGUGAUGAAGGCCUUAGGGUUGUAAAGCUCUUUACCCGAGAUGAUAAUGACAGUAGUCGGGAAGAAGUAAACGCCCCGGACUAACCUCCGUGCCAGCAGCCGACGGU
rnacentral:rRNA from 1 species